ACACUAGUACAAAAUUGAACAUAGAAGAUUGAUCAUAGACCACCAUUGUUGAAAGAAUGGUUGCCUAAUCUUAGCCCAAAAAUUCGCAGUGGCAAUUUUGUAAAUAAGUGAUCAAUAAUCCGCCACCAUUGUUAACUGUAAUGGUUGUCCAUUGUAUUUUGUAUUUAUUUAAAAAAAAUUGAUAUAUAAUAGGCAACCAUUUCUAAUAGAAAUGGUUACCUUAAAAUAGAACUUGUUUUAUAACAGCCAACCAUUCCUAAUAGAAAUGGUUGCCUAAGAUUAACCCUAGAUCUACAGUGCCCAUAUCAGAUCGAAAUUACCUCUCAAACCACAUACUCCAUCGAUCUCAUACUCUCGCCGUCUCGCCGAUCUACUCCGUUCCGAACGCCGCUGCUCUCGCCCGGCGACCACCGCCACCACGCCGUUGGCGGCGACCAAGCCCACUCUCACCUUGAGUAUGUGGAUCUGAGAUUCAAAGGCAGAAGUAUUUGCCAUCCAUGGCCAAACUUCAAAGUGUGGGUUGUUUGGGUCUGACAGAACCGGACUACGGAAGUGAUGCAAGUGCUUUGAGAACAACCGCAAAGAAGGUUGAAGGAGGUUGGAUCCUUGAAGGCCAAAAGUGUUGGAUUGGAAACAGCACUUUUGCAAAUAUACUCAUUAUUUUUGCUAGAAACACCACUACUAAAAAGAUCAAUGCAAACCGUUCUUUUCAAACUUUGGAGCAAUUGUGACAUUUGCCAUAUUCGGAACAUUUAUUGCUUCAAUGGUUACAGGUGUCUUGGUUUACAUUGGCGGAGUGAUUUUACUCAUAUACAAACUUCCUUUUCUUGAGUGUCUGAAGUUUGGGUCCCUUAUAUCAGCAACCGAUCCUGUCACUGUUCUGUCCAUAUUUCAGGAGCUUGGCACAGAUGUCAACCUUUACGCAUUGGUGUUUGGUGAAUCUGUUUUAAAUGAUGCAAUGGCAAUUUCUCUAUACAGGACAAUGUCAUUAGUGAGAAGCAAUACCUCGUCUGGACAGAACUUUUUUAUGAUCACUGUCCGAUUUAUAGAGACAUUUUUUGGAUCAAUGUCAGCAGGUGUUGGUGUUGGAUUCAUUUCAGCUUUGAUAUCCUUUUGACUUAACGGUUGUUCUUUUUAGAUACAAACUUACAGCUAAUUUUGUGUAGAUAACAGAGAAAGAGUAUCAGUAGCAAGGUGGAGCUAUAUUAGACGACAAGAAAAGGGGUUCAAACUAACUGAAAAGGAACUUAAGAAACAAAAGUUAUUCUUAUCCCAAAAAGGGCCCCAAGAUUUACAAAUCCUCAUCCACAAAAGAGUUCGUCUUGGCUGCAUAUCACCAUACAAAGCUCAGGUCUUUGCCAUCAAACAAAAACUUGGCAAGAAAUACAGCACAGAUGUGGAGAGUGACUUCUCGGUGAAUGUACGAUCUGUAGAUGGGUUUCAAGGCGGAGAAGAAGACGUGAUCAUCAUAUCAACGGUUCGAUCUAAUGGAAGAGGAGCAGUGGGGUUAUUGUCCAACUUCCAGCGCACAAAUGUCGCCCUGACUCAGGCUAGAUACUGCCUUUAAUUUGGGUUUUGGGUAACGGUGCGACCUUGAUCAAUAGUGGUAUGGUUUGGAGGGACAUUGUCGUAGAUUCUAUUACCCGCGGCUGUUACUAUGAUGCCUGCAAUGACAAGGAUUUGGAAAAAGCACUUGCAUAUGUGUCUGAUGAGCUAACAACCAAGUUGUCUGCAAUGAGUGUUGGUGAUAAACCUGGCUUUG